UACGGGGGGGGGCAAGCGUUGUUCGGAAUUACUGGGCGUAAAGGGCUCGUAGGCGGCCAACUAAGUCGGACGUGAAAUCCCUCGGCUUAACCGGGGAACUGCGUCCGAUACUGGAUGGCUUGAGUUUGGGAGAGGGAUGCGGAAUUCCAGGUGUAGCGGUGAAAUGCGCAGAUAUCGGGAGGAACACCGGUGGCGAAGGCGGGUCUCUGGGCAGUAACUGACGCUGAGGAGCGAAAGCGUGGGGAGCGAACAGG
rnacentral:rRNA from 1 species